UCGAAAAUGGCAGCGCCCGGAAUAGACACAUGUCAUGUCUCUUGUUGUGCUAAUCGCACUCCUAAUGUUGUGUCAUGGGGCAGAGGAGGUCUUAUCGCAUUUGGGACAUGUAAUUCAGUUGCCCUUUAUAAUCCACAGGAAAUAAGGAUUGUUGAGGUGCUGAAUAAACACACUGGAAGAGUGAAUGCUGUCCAGUGGGUUCAUAAACAAGACUGCAGUCCGGAAACCCAGCUGGUAUCUGGUGGGUCAGAUAAUCAUGUUAUUGUCUGGGAGAAGCGG